rnacentral:lncRNA from 1 species
CCAGAGGGGGCAUGAUUUGUGUUGACAGCAGGCAUUUUUCGCCAAUAUCAAUCUCUUGUUCUUUAGGCUGAAAUUAUAUGAGUUUUCUUUCAACCCUGCAAUGAGAAUCCUCAUAAUUUUCAAUGAACUGUGAUUCAAAACUUGUACCUUCCAAUGUUACAGGAACAUUUUGAAUGUUUGGCACGCAAGUUGAAAGUUUCGAGCAUUUUGUGACUAUUCAGAAUUCAGUAUUAAACAAUUUGAGAGGUGUACACAUUUGAUUCCAUGAUAUAACGAAAGAGACCAAUUUCAAAAUAUCUUGUGUCGAUCAAUGCCCCGGGCCCUGGUUACUUUGAUUUGAAAUGAAGGAUAUUCAAAUACCUACCUUUCUGAAAAAUUGGGUGCUGUACGUUUUUCAUAACAAAUUAGAACCUCGCUAAUCAUCGAGAUUGCGAUUGGUUCAUUAAACAUAAAACAACAGGUGUGGGGAAAUUAAUUUUGUUUAUCUGUUUUUCAUUAAUUGAAGUGGAAAAUAUGUUUUUUUUUUUUUUUUAAAAAAAACUUUUUUUUAUCCUUUCUAAAAUUUGAACUAGUUUAUUUCUAGGAUAUUAUCUAUUUAUAAAAGAGCAUUUAUUAAGAACAUCUCCAAGAAUCUUUUUAUUUAUAAAUAGCAGCAUUUUUAAAUUUAAAGAGUUGAAAUUUUUAUACAUUCUAGCGAGAUCUCUAUUUUGAUUAUUUGUUUUGCCUUUUCUUUAAGAAAUAUUUAUUAAUUUCUUUUCAUUUUUAUUUAACAUAAUUUUUUAUGCGACGAUUGAUCAAUCAAUUUAAACGUGAUUUGAAUAGUUUAACAAGUAGAGUAUUAAAAUAUGUUAAUUAUUAAAUUCAAUCAUUGUCAUUAAGAAUAAAGAAUGAAUUUGACAUUUUAAAUUUAGAGAGUCAAAUCCAUUCUCUAUUUUAAAAAGCUAAGAGCGCGUUUGUUGUACCGUUUUCAAGCUAUUUUCAGCUUUGUAAAACAAUGAAAACGUGUUUGGUCUGGUAUUCCUGAAAAUACAUUUUCUAAAACAAGAAUAAACUUAUAACAUGAAACUCUAAACGUAUUUAUGACAUUUUGAGUAUAUUUUUUUAACAUGAUUUUUACACGACAAUUGACCAAUCAAUUUAAAUGCGGUUUGAAUAGUUUGAAAAAUGGAGUAUUAAAAUGUGUGAUUUAUUAAAUGCAAUCAUUGCCAUUAAAAAUAGAGAAUGAAUUUGGCUUUCUAAAGUUAGAGAGUCAAAUCCACCAUUUAUUUUAAAUAGUUAAGAGUGCGUUUGGUAUACUGUUUUCAAACUAUUUUCAGUUUUAUAAAACGUUGAAAACGUGUUUGGUUUUGAUAUUUUUGAAACGCUGUCAAAUUUUGUGAUCUACAACUUUUGACACUUCAACGUUCUUAAUUUUUUUUGCUACAACUUCACUUGGUUAGGGGUGUCCACCGUUUUGGUUUAAUAUCCAUCUGACAUGAAAACUGUUCUUGGUUUUUAUGCUGGUCCAAGCCAUUUUAUUGCGUAUGAAUGGUGAUCUACAUUUAAGUUGCGCUGAAGUAAAAAUUGUGAUGAUGUAGAAAUUUGUGUUUUUCUUAUUGUAACGUUUGAUUCUUCUGUUGCAGGUUUGUAGAGGGACUGCUGUGAUGCUCGUCUCCCCCACUGAAGGAACAGACGAGAUUGCCAAUCCAUUUGUCCAGCCAGAGGGGGCAUGAUUUGUGUUGACAGCAGGCAUUUUUCGCCAAUAUCAAUCUCUUGUUCUUUAGGCUGAAAUUAUAUGAGUUUUCUUUCAACCCUGCAAUGAGAAUCCUCAUAAUUUUCAAUGAACUGUGAUUCAAAACUUGUACCUUCCAAUGUUACAGGAACAUUUUGAAUGUUUGGCACGCAAGUUGAAAGUUUCGAGCAUUUUGUGACUAUUCAGAAUUCAGUAUUAAACAAUUUGAGAGGUGUACACAUUUGAUUCCAUGAUAUAACGAAAGAGACCAAUUUCAAAA